GAUGCAGUGUACCCGCGGCAAGACGGAAAGACCCCGUGAACCUUUACUAUAGCUUGACACUGAACAUUGAGCCUUGAUGUGUAGGAUAGGUGGGAGGCUUUGAAGUGUGGACGCCAGUCUGCAUGGAGCCGACCUUGAAAUACCACCCUUUAAUGUUUGAUGUUCUAACGUGGACCCGUAAUCCGGGUUGCGGACAGUGUCUGGUGGGUAGUUUGACUGGGGCGGUCUCCUCCUAAAGAGUAACGGAGGAGCACGAAGGUUGGCUAAUCCUGGUCGGACAUCAGGAGGUUAGUGCAAUGGCAUAAGCCAGCUUGACUGCGAGCGUGACGGCGCGAGCAGGUGCGAAAGCAGGUCAUAGUGAUCCGGUGGUUCUGAAUGGAAGGGCCAUCGCUCAACGGAUAAAAGGUACUCCGGGGAUAACAGGCUGAUACCGCCCAAGAGUUCAUAUCGACGGCGGUGUUUGGCACCUCGAUGUCGGCUCAUCACAUCCUGGGGCUGAAGUAGGUCCCAAGGGUAUGGCUGUUCGCCAUUUAAAGUGGUACGCGAGCUGGGUUUAGAACGUCGUGAGACAGUUCGGUCCCUAUCUGCCGUGGGCGCUGGAGAACUGAGGGGGGCUGCUCCUAGUACGAGAGGACCGGAGUGGACGCAUCACUGGUGUUCGGGUUGUCAUGCCAAUGGCACUGCCCGGUAGCUAAAUGCGGAAGAGAUAAGUGCUGAAAGCAUCUAAGCACGAAACUUGCCCCGA
rnacentral:rRNA from 1 species